rnacentral:rRNA from 1 species
GAUGAACGCUAGCGACAGGCCUAACACAUGCAAGUCGAGGGGCAGCGGGGAGGUAGCAAUACCUUUGCCGGCGACCGGCGCACGGGUGAGUAACACGUAUGCAAUCCACCUGUAACAGGGGGAUAACCCGGAGAAAUCCGGACUAAUACCCCAUAAUAUGGGCGCUCCGCAUGGAGAGUCCAUUAAAGAGAGCAAUCUUGGUUACAGACGAGCAUGCGCUCCAUUAGCCAGUUGGCGGGGUAACGGCCCACCAAGGCGACGAUGGAUAGGGGUUCUGAGAGGAAGGUCCCCCACAUUGGAACUGAGACACGGUCCAAACUCCUACGGGAGGCAGCAGUGAGGAAUAUUGGUCAAUGGUCGGCAGACUGAACCAGCCAAGUCGCGUGAGGGAAGACGGCCCUACGGGUUGUAAACCUCUUUUGUCGGAGAGUAAAGUACGCUACGUGUAGUGUAUUGCAAGUAUCCGAAGAAAAAGCAUCGGCUAACUCCGUGCCAGCAGCCGCGGU